UACAGAGGGUGCAAGCGUUGUUCGGAAUUAUUGGGCGUAAAGCGCGUGUAGGCGGCUUUGCAAGUCGGGUGUGAAAGCCCUCAGCUCAACUGAGGAAGUGCGCCCGAAACUGCAGAGCUUGAGUGCCGGGGAGGGUGGCGGAAUUCCCCAAGUAGAGGUGAAAUUCGUAGAUAUCGGGAGGAACACCAGUGGCGAAGGCGGCGAUCUGGGAAGAUACUGACGCUGAGGUGCGAAAGCGUGGGGAGCGAACAGG
rnacentral:rRNA from 1 species